rnacentral:lncRNA from 1 species
AGGCCAGAAGCGGAAUGUAAGGAUAUCGCGCUGGUUGUUUUCUUUUUCGUUUUUUAUGUAUGGCAAGUAAGCACGUACCAUUUCAUUCUUUUGUGUAUCGUUUCCAACCAAAUAAAACGACCACCUUUUGUAUUAUUUAUUUUUAUAUCUUGUUUUUCUUUUAAUUUUAGUUGUUUUCGUUUUUGUUUCUUCCUCGGACCACAUUUUUUUUAAAUCUUUUCCAUGAUUCGAGCUACUUUUUCUAGCAUUGGUGUGGGUUUUCUCAAUCUCGAGAUAAUUUAUAGACC